rnacentral:lncRNA from 1 species
UGCUUCCCCGUGAUAACCAGGUUGUUAAUUGAGGACAAACGCCUACUAACAUGUUCUCUGACUGUAGGUACUGAUAAAAAGGCUGCAUUCUUGCACUUCUUACACGGGCACCUAAUGUUAUAUUCUCCAUCUGUGUACGCCGUUUGAUUUAUAGCAUACUCAAGGAAACUCUCAAGACCCGUUUCAAAUGCAGAACGAUCAUUGUAUCUCGCGUACAUCCACAUACGAUUAUCACUCAUUCUUGCAAAUUCUAAUUGAAAAAAAUAAAUAAAAGAUCAUAAAUUAUUUGAAUCAAACGAAAUUUCGACAGCA